GGGGGUAUAGCUUAGUGAUAGAGUGUGUCUUUGGUAUGUAUACGUCCUGGGUUCAAUCCCCAGUGCAUCUG
rnacentral:tRNA from 1 species